AACCUAGCACACCUGCGGUGUGUACCUGCGGAGGGAUCAUUACCUAGAGUUGUAGGCUUUGCCUGCUAUCUCUUACCCAUGUCUUUUGAGUACCUUACGUUUCCUCGGCGGGUUCGCCCGCCGGUUGGACAAAACUUAAACCCUUUGUAGUUGCAAUCAGCGUCUGAAAAAACUUAAUAGUUACAACUUUUAACAAUGGAUCU
rnacentral:misc_RNA from 1 species